rnacentral:rRNA from 1 species
UACGUAGGGGGCAAGCGUUGUCCGGAAUCAUUGGGCGUAAAGAGCGUGUAGGCGGUCCGGUAAGUCGGCUGUGAAAGUCCAGGGCUCAACCCUGGGAUGCCGGUCGAUACUGCCGGACUAGAGUUCGGAAGAGGCGAGUGGGAAUUCCCGGUGUAGCGGUGAAAUGCGCAGAUAUCGAGAGGAACACCUGCGGCGAAGGCGGGUUGGCUGGGCUGACACUGACGGCUGAGGCGCGAAAGCCAGGGAGCGAACGGG